UAGGGAAUCUUCCCAAUGGGCGAAAGCCUGACGGAGCAACGCCGCGUGAGUGAUGAAGGUCUUCGGAUCGUAAAACUCUGUUAUUAGGGAAGAACAAAUGUGUAAGUAACUAUGCACGUCUUGACGGUACCUAAUCAGAAAGCCACGGCUAACUACGUGCCAGCAGCCGCGGUAAUACGUAGGUGGCAAGCGUUAUCCGGAAUUAUUGGGCGUAAAGCGCGCGUAGGCGGUUUUUUAAGUCUGAUGUGAAAGCCCACGGCUCAACCGUGGAGGGUCAUUGGAAACUGGAAAACUUGAGUGCAGAAGAGGAAAGUGGAAUUCCAUGUGUAGCGGUGAAAUGCGCAGAGAUAUGGAGGAACACCAGUGGCGAAGGCGACUUUCUGGUCUGUAACUGACGCUGAUGUGCGAAAGCGUGGGGAUCAAACAGG
rnacentral:rRNA from 1 species